UAACACGUAUCCAACCUGCCGUCUACUCUUGGACAGCCUUCUGAAAGGAAGAUUAAUACAAGAUGGCAUCAUGAGUCCGCAUGUUCACAUGAUUAAAGGUAUUCCGGUAGACGAUGGGGAUGCGUUCCAUUAGAUAGUAGGCGGGGUAACGGCCCACCUAGUCUUCGAUGGAUAGGGGUUCUGAGAGGAAGGUCCCCCACAUUGGAACUGAGACACGGUCCAAACUCCUACGGGAGGCAGCAGUGAGGAAUAUUGGUCAAUGGGCGAGAGCCUGAACCAGCCAAGUAGCGUGAAGGAUGACUGCCCUAUGGGUUGUAAACUUCUUUUAUAAAGGAAUAAAGUCGGGUAUGGAUACCCGUUUGCAUGUACUUUAUGAAUAAGGAUCGGCUAACUCCGUGCCAGCAGCCGCGGUAAUACGGAGGAUCCGAGCGUUAUCCGGAUUUAUUGGGUUUAAAGGGAGCGUAGAUGGAUGUUUAAGUCAGUUGUGAAAGUUUGCGGCUCAACCGUAAAAUUGCAGUUGAUACUGGAUAUCUUGAGUGCAGUUGAGGCAGGCGGAAUUCGUGGUGUAGCGGUGAAAUGCUUAGAUAUCACGAAGAACUCCGAUUGCGAAGGCAGCCUGCUAAGCUGCAACUGACAUUGAGGCUCGAAAGUGUGGGUAUCAAACAGGAUUAGAUACCCUGGUAGUCCACACGGUAAACGAUGAAUACUCGCUGU
rnacentral:rRNA from 1 species